AAUUAUUUUCCCUCUUUCUUCUGACUAGUAUAUCCAUGGAAUGCACAUAAAAUGAAAGAUCUCUAUAACCAGUUAAUCUCUACAAGUUUUUUUUUUUUUAAAGACUUUAUUUAUUUAUUCAUGAGAGACACACAGAGAGAGGCAGAGACACAGGCAGAGGGAGAAGCAGGCUCCAUGCAGGGAGCCUGACGUGGGACUCGAUCCCCGAUCCCCGGGUCUCCAGGAUCACGCCCUGGGCCUCAGGCAGGAACUAAACUGCUGAGCCACCCAGGGAUCCCUAAUCCCCACAAGUUUUGAUGAGGUGGGGGGAGGGAAUGAAAGUGGGAAAGAGAGAGGGAGGGAGUAGCCCCAAAUACAGAAUGUGAUAAAUAAGAUAAUUACCUUCCUUUUGCAUGGAGAGAAUAAGAAAGAAAAUUUUUUUUUUCCAAACACCAAAAGUACUAGUGGGGGCACCUGGCUGGCUCAGUCAGUAGAGCAUGUGACUCUUAAUCCCAGGGUCACCAGUUCAAGCCCCAUGUUGGGUGUAGAGCUUACUUAAAAAAAAAAAAAAAAAAAAGAAAGAAAGAAAAAAGUACUUAGUGGUUUCAGUUUUAUAACCUCAGCUGGAGGAAAAAAAAAAAAAAACAGAACACAAAAGCUCCCAGGUCCAGCCACUGUAGAUCUCAAAAGGUUGUUUGCUUUUUCAGGUGGCACAAGAAACUUUCUUAAAAAAAAAAAAAAAAAAAAAAAGAAACUUUCUUGAGCGAUAGGAUCUCACAGAAGAGGAGGCACUGCUGGCUGAUGACUAGCCAAAGACUAGUCCCCCUGGAGAAUGAGAGGGAGAGGACCAAGUGCAGAGUGGACUCCUUCUGGAUGUUGUAGUCGGACAGGGUGCACCCAUCUUCUAGCUGUUUGCCGGCAAAGAUCAACCUCUGCUGGUCAGGGGGGAUGCCCUCUUUUUCUUGGAUCUUCCCUUUGACAUUCUCGAUGGUGUCACUGGGCUCCACCGUCCAGGGUGAUGGUCUUACCAGUCAAGGUCUUCACGAAGAUCUGCAUGCCCCCCUGAGGUGAAGGACCAGGUGCAGAGUGGACUCCUUCUGGAUGUUGUAGUCGGACAGGACGGAUGCUUCCAAUUCAAAUUCAGUUACUCCGAUUGUAAUAUCCUGGUUCUCCGGGCUCCUGGGUGGCUCAGUCAGUUAAACACCUGCCUUCGGUUUGGGUCGUAAUUCCCAAAUCCUGGAAUCCAGCCUCCAGUAGGGCUUACCACUCAGUGGGGAGCCUGCUUCUCCCUCUGUCUCUGCCUACCUACCACUCCCCUCUCCUUGUGCUCUCUCUGUCAAAUAAAUAAAUAAAUAAAUAAUAAUAAAUAAAUAAAUAAAGUCUUUAAAAAAUAAAAACAACAACAAAAUAAAAGCCUGGUUCCCAACUCAAACCAUCAUACUUACUCAUUUGCUUUAUCCAAAAUAUAGACAAUAGUUUCAGAAUAAUAAUUGCA
rnacentral:lncRNA from 1 species